AUGUCCCUGUUUUCCACGAUCAGAAGCGGGCGGGGGGUCGGAAGCCUCCAGGUGGGCGGUGGGAAUGUGCCCGCCCUCGGCCAAGGGCGCCAGGUAAGCCGGGGCGCCAGAGCAGGGACCUCUGUGCCCCACAUUACCCGAGACCAGCCCCUCCCAGAGCCGCUUGGGACAAAGCGGGAUCUGGAUCGGCCCUCUGCUCCCAACGGCUCGCCGGAGCGCGGCCCUCGAGGCCCGGAAGCGCCCCGCGGCCGUCCACCCCGUUCGCGCGUCCUGGUCCACCAGAAGACGGCCCCGCUGGGGUCGGGGUUGGUCGGAGGUCAGGCGGCCGUGGGCUCCACCAGGGCCAGCGCUGGGGGUGCCACGGGGUGCCCUGAGGCUGGGACCUCUGACGGGGGCGCGCAUGGGUGUGGGCGCAGGUGUGGGGUGGGCGCCAGGCGCCCAGCGGUGCACCGGGCCCAGGGGUGGGGCCCGGGGGUGGGGGCGAGGCCGGGAGGGCGGGGGCGGGGCCGGGGCUGGGGCGAGGCCGCGCCUGGGGAGCCACCCGCCCGCGGGCCGCCCGCGCCUCGAGGGUUAAGGCCGGGAGCCCGGCGGGCGGGGCGGGCGCGCGCGGAUUGGCGGAAAGUUCGGGCGCGGGGCGGGGCGCGGGGCGGGCCGGGCCGGGCUGGGGCGCGCCGAUUGGCGGGAAGUUGUGUCGGGGCGGGGCGCGCGGCGGGCUCGGCGCUCGCUCCGGGAGAGUUGACAAAGCCCCGCAGGGAAGGACGCCUCGCGGCGCGGCGCCCCGGGCCCCUCGCCCCGCCGCCCCGGGCCCCCGGACCCGGACCCCGGCCCCUGGCUCCGGCCGCGCCGCCCCGCGCCCCCGGCGUCCGCCCGGCCCCCGCCCCGGCCCCAGCCGCCCGCGCCCAGGUAGCGCCGCCCCGUCCCGAGGCCGGGCCCGGGGGCGCGGGGCGGCGGGGUGCGGCGCCCGGGGCGGCGAUGACCGCGCAGCGCGCCCCGCGGGCCCGGCCCUGA
rnacentral:lncRNA from 1 species